rnacentral:rRNA from 1 species
CCCUUAGAUGGUCUGGGCGGCACGCGCGCUACAAUGAUGCAUUCAAAAAGUCUUCUGACCUUAGAAGGUUGGGUAUUCUCCAAAGUGCAUCGUGAUGGGAAUAGUUUAUUGCAAUUUUUAAUCUUGAACGAGGAAUUCCUAGUAAGUACAGGUCAUCAACUUGUGUUGAUUACGUCCCUGCCCUUUGUACACACCGCCCGUCGCUCCUACUGAUUGAGUGUCUCUGUGAAUUCUUUGAUCUUCUGUCGAUUCAGUUCACUGAUCCGACGGUGGAAAGUUGAAUGAACUUCGUCACUUAGAGGAAGGAGAAGUCGUAACAA